rnacentral:rRNA from 1 species
UGAGUAACACGUGAGUAACCUGCCCUUAACUCUGGGAUAAGCCUGGGAAACUGGGUCUAAUACCGGAUAUGACUCCUCAUCGCAUGGUGGGGGGUGGAAAGCUUUAUUGUGGUUUUGGAUGGACUCGCGGCCUAUCAGCUUGUUGGUGAGGUAAUGGCUCACCAAGGCGACCACGGGUAGCCGGCCUGAGAGGGUGACCGGCCACACUGGGACUGAGACACGGCCCAGACUCCUACGGGAGGCAGCAGUGGGGAAUAUUGCACAAUGGGCGCAAGCCUGAUGCAGCGACGCCGCGUGAGGGAUGACGGCCUUCGGGUUGUAAACCUCUUUCAGUAGGGAAGAAGCGAAAGUGACGGUACCUGCAGAAGAAGCGCCGGCUAACUACGUGCCAGCAGCCGCGGUAAUACGUAGGGCGCAAGCGUUAUCCGGAAUUAUUGGGCGUAAAGAGCUCGUAGGCGGUUUGUCGCGUCUGCCGUGAAAGUCCGGGGCUCAACUCCGGAUCUGCGGUGGGUACGGGCAGACUAGAGUGAUGUAGGGGAGACUGGAAUUCCUGGUGUAGCGGUGAAAUGCGCAGAUAUCAGGAGGAACACCGAUGGCGAAGGCAGGUCUCUGGGCAUUAACUGACGCUGAGGAGCGAAAGCAUGGGGAGCGAACAGGAUUAGAUACCCUGGUAGUCCAUGCCGUAAACGUUGGGCACUAGGUGUGGGGGACAUUCCACGUUUUCCGCGCCGUAGCUAACGCAUUAAGUGCCCCGCCUGGGGAGUACGGCCGCAAGGCUAAAACUCAAAGGAAUUGACGGGGGCUCGCACAAGCAGCGGAGCAUGUGGUUUAAUUCGAAGCAACGCGAAGAACCUUACCUAGACUUGACAUCUCCUGAAUAGCCGGUAACUCGGCGAAGCCUUUCGGGGCAGGAAGACAGGUGGUGCAUGGUUGUCGUCAGCUCGUGUCGUGAGAUGUUGGGUUAAGUCCCGCAACGAGCGCAACCCUUAUCAUUAGUUGCUACCAUUUAGUUGAGCACUCUAAUGAGACUGCCGUGGUUAACGCGGAGGAAGGUGGGGAUGACGUCAAAUCAUCAUGCCCCUUAUGUCUUGGGCUUCACGCAUGCUACAAUGGCCGGUACAAAGGGUUGCGAUACUGUGAGGUGGAGCUAAUCCCAAAAAGCCGGUCUCAGUUCGGAUUGGGGUCUGCAACUCGACCCCAUGAAGUCGGAGUCGCUAGUAAUCGCAGAUCAGCAACGCUGCGGUGAAUACGUUCCCGGGCCUUGUACACACCGCCCGUCAAGUCACGAAAGUUGGUAACACCCGAAGCCGGUGGCCUAACCCCUUGUGGGAGGGAGCUGUCGAAGGUGGGACUGGCGAUUGGG